CUAACAAACUUGCUUAGAGCACUGAUCCAGAGUCAGAUUUGACGCCUUUCAGCUCGUGAAGAUGAGUCCCACUCUCUCCAUCAGCCGCUGGAUUUUUCUGUUCUGUCUGCCUGUUGUGAUGCUCGUCCCUGUGGAGAAAGACUAUAAAGCCCAUUUCUCACUUCGAAGUUUGGGUUUGCCAUGCUGCCGUACGGUGAUCACCCAGGAAAUAACGAUAAUCACAAGUUGUUUGGAACAACAACCACGUUAUGGCUGCAGUCAACACGCAUUCCUGAUAAAAGACAAUAAAGAUAAAACAUGGUGCAUUGAUCCAAAUUCUGAGUGGCUCAAAGACAAAAUAGAGAAGGAAGAAUUGAACUGUCCUCCGGUGAUUAGUGAAUAAAGUAACAAUGAGACCAAAAAACAUCAGCGUAAAGAAGCUGCAGACAACAAUUAUGUUUUUUUUAAAUAAUUAAUAAAUUUUAUAUAUAUUUAUACAUAUUUAUUCAUAAUGUUUUUUCCACAUUGGGCAAUUGAUGUUAUUUUAAUUUAUUGUGAAUACAGUAAUAAAAAGUUCUUUGUGACUAUAAAUAAAAUCAAUAGUAUUGGACAAUAGAUAAAUAUGGAGCAUAUUAAAAUCUUCUGGUUGUUGUAAUUUCUUUGACAUGAAUGAUGGGUGGCAGUGCAGCGGGGAUUUUUGUUCUGAUUCAAUGUCACAUUUCUUUCAAAUUGUAAGGAUUUCAAAGCAUUACAGGUAGAAAUAAAUAAAUAAAGGAGUUAAAGUAAAAGCAUUAUUUAUCAAAACACAGAAUGCUGAUAAUGAAGGGAAACUUGCAUGUAAGAAGAAACUAGGGAUAGUUUUUUAUAUAGUUCAUGUAACACGAGGCAUAAUUACAUCUAAUUCAGCCAAUUAUAAUUAAAAUUGCAGCACAUUAUGUAUGAGCACAGAUGAGACCUGCAUCUGAUAUGGGUUUAUCUGAUGUCCCAGUUUUUUGCCCAUUGAGUCAAACUAUUUUUAAAUUCCAGGAUAACGUAUUUAUACAGAUCAGGAGAUGUGCUAUGAAUGUUUGCUUUAGUCCUUCUUACGCAAAAAAAAAACAAAAAACCAGUGAGCAGUAUCUAACCAGUUUAGGAGCUUGUUGACCCGGGGUGUAGGUUAAAGAUCAACUCGUGACACUUCAUUCAUCUUGCACCAAUCCAUACAGAACUGAUGGACCCGUCUUUCUUCACAACAAGAACUACACCAUGUGCUGUGAAAUUCUUCUCUCACCCUCCAGCACACCCGCCAAUUCCUUUUGAGGGAGAACUACAGUGUCCUAAAGGCAUCUCCUACAAACACAGAUAUGAAUUCCUGGAUGAAGAUGAAACUGCAACCACAGAGAAGCAUCAAUAAAAUAAAAAAUGCUGAUUUUCAGGCUCAUGUUAAAAGUUGUUACUGAGAAUAAAUGAUCAAUUUAGAAAGGUG
ensembl:lncRNA